rnacentral:rRNA from 1 species
AGUGAACGCUGGCGGUAGGCCUAACACAUGCAAGUCGAACGGCAGCACAGUAAGAGCUUGCUCUUACGGGUGGCGCGUGGCGGACGGGUGAGGAAUACAUCGGAAUCUACUUUUUCGUGGGGGAUAACGUAGGGAAACUUACGCUAAUACCGCAUACGACCUACGGGUGAAAGCAGGGGAUCUUCGGACCUUGCGCGAUUGAAUGGGCCGAUGUCGGAUUAGCUAGUUGGCGGGGUAAAGGCCCACCAAGGCGACGAUCCGUAGCUGGUCUGAGAGGAUGAUCAGCCACACUGGAACUGAGACACGGUCCAGACUCCUACGGGAGGCAGCAGUGGGGAAUAUUGGACAAUGGGCGCAAGCCUGAUCCAGCCAUACCGCGUGGGUGAAGAAGGCCUUCGGGUUGUAAAGCCCUUUUAUUGGGAAAGAAAAGCAGCAGGUUAAUACCCCGCUGUUCUGACGGUACCCAAAGAAUAAGCACCGGCUAACUUCGUG